rnacentral:antisense_RNA from 1 species
GUGAACUGAGCAAGUGUGAGGGAUCUAGGUUGCAUGCUUCUUGUGAGAAUCUAAUGCCUGAUGAUCUGUCAUUGUCUCCCAUCUCAUCUAAUUGCAGGAAAACAAGCUCAGGGCUCCCACUGAUUGUACAUUAUGGUGAGACGUGGUCUUGUAACACAGUGGUUAAGAAUGUGACUUUGGAGCCAGCCUGCUAGGGGCUGAAUUCUGACUCAGCCAUUUAUUAACUGUGUGACCUUAGGGAGGAGGACCUGGUUGAUAGAAGAAUUUAUCUCAUAGUCUUAACAUCCACUGUAAUUCCGAACUUUGAGGACGAUAGAGAUCAGUGGGCUUUGACUGCCCAGCAUGCAGUCUCCAUUCUUAGGUAGGUUCCCAAGCCUGUAAAAUGUAAGUCUUAUGUUGCUGAGGGCCAUCUUGCCACCCCGAGGGGAACGCUGCCUGAGAAUGAAACCAGCAUAAGUAAAAGCUGAGCUGUGAGAUGGAGUGAGAUGAAGGCCACAUGACAUCUUUGGAGCACCUGGAUCUAACUGUGCCUUAAGCUAGUCUAACCCUGAACAUUUCAUUGACAUGGGCCCAGGUUUUCCCUUUUUUUUUUUUUUUUUUUUGGAUGGAGUCUCACUCUGUCGCCCAGGCUGGAGUGCAGUGGUGCAAUCUCGGCUCACUGCAAGCUCC